rnacentral:SRP_RNA from 1 species
GCCAGGUGUGGUGGCGGGCACCUGUAAUCCCAGCUACUCAGGAGGCUGAGGCAGGAGGAUCGCUUGAACCCAGGAGACAGAGGUUGCAGUGAGCCGAGAUCAUGCCAUUGCACUUCAGCCUGAGCAACAGAGUGAGACUCUGUCUCUA